rnacentral:rRNA from 1 species
UACGUAGGGGGCAAGCGUUGUCCGGAAUCAUUGGGCGUAAAGAGCGUGUAGGCGGCUCGAUAAGUCUGCUGUGAAAGUCCAGGGCUCAACCCUGGAAGGCCGGUGGAAACUGUCGGGCUAGAGUCCGGAAGAGGCGAGUGGAAUUCCCGGUGUAGCGGUGAAAUGCGCAGAUAUCGGGAGGAACACCGGUGGCGAAGGCGGCCCCCUGGACCGGUACUGACGCUGAGGAGCGAAAGCGUGGGGAGCAGACAGG